GUGCGUGAAAGGCAACGGGCCGAAGGGACUAAGCGAGCGCACGAGCGCUCCUUUCAACGGAAACGCCUCUUUUAACUGUGAGCGCCCGGUUUUUUUGUUUGCCCAGUCAGUCAGUCAGUACGUUGGCAGGUGGGUGGACGAGGCCAGCUGGGAUGAGGAAAGAGGAAAGGCCUCGCUCGGACUCGGAGGCAAGCCUGGACUUUGCCGAGGAGUCCCUGGGCCGCGCCCACUCGAUAGGAAACACGAGGCUUUUUUGCCUUUGGGGAGGUGGGGCCCGCAGUCGGACGCGGCACCUGAGGAGAAAGAACUGGAAGCGGGUAGUCGGGUGGGCCUAAGCGGCCUCCUUCGCUCGAGCGGGGAAGUCGUGGUAAAUGAAGAAUUGUCGUCCCCUCGCGAGUGAGGAGCCUUGAAAAUGGUGCGAACUUAUAAACCUAAGACUGAUAGAGGAAGUAUCGAUGAGGAGAACGUAAAGACUGCUAUAUCUGAAGUUAUAUCAAAGAGAUUGUCUAUACGGAGGGCAGCUGACAAAUACAGGAUCAAAGCUGCAACUUUGCAACAUCGCAUUGAAAAGUUUCAAAAAACUUCAGAAGAAAAUGAAGCGUCAUCUUCUAAUAUAUAUGGGUCCAAGUACACUGUUGCACAGGUUUUCUCAACUGAACAAGAGAAAGUGUUUACUGAAUAUUUAUUGAACUGUAGUAAAAUGCACUACGGGCUUUCUUUGCAGGAAGUCUUGGUUUUGGCUUAUGAAUAUGCAGAACAUUUGGGGUGUAGAUAUCCGGAAUCCUGGAAAAAAAAUAGAUGUGCUGGGAAAGAUUGGGCAGCAGGAUUUAGAAAGAGGAAUCAGGAUCGAAGCCCCAGAAAGCCAGAAAAUAUGAGUACAGCACGAAGUUUUGUGUUUAAUUAAACUUCAGUCACUGAU